rnacentral:rRNA from 1 species
UACGAAGGGGGCGAGCGUUGUUCGGAUUUACUGGGCGUAAAGCGUGCGCAGGCGGUUCGUUGUGUCGGCGGUGAAAGCCCCGGGCUUAACCUGGGAAUGGCCGUUGAAACUGGCGAACUGGAGUGUGGCAGAGGGGGGUGGAAUUCCGCGUGUAGCAGUGAAAUGCGUAGAGAUGCGGAGGAACACCGAUGGCGAAGGCAGCCCCGUGGGCUAACACUGACGCUCAGGCACGAAAGCGUGGGGAGCAAACAGG